GACGAACGCUGGCGGCGUGCUUAACACAUGCAAGUCGAGCGGUAAGGCCCUUUCGGGGGUACACGAGCGGCGAACGGGUGAGUAACACGUGGGUGACCUGCCCUCAACUCUGGGAUAAGCCUGGGAAACCGGGUCUAAUACUGGAUAUGACUCCAUGACGCAUGUUGUGGGGUGGAAAGCCUUGUGCGGCUGAGGAUGGGCCCGCGGCCUAUCAGCUUGUUGGUGGGGUGAUGGCCUACCGAGGCGACGACGGGUAGCCGGCCUGAGAGGGCGACCGGCCACACUGGGACUGAGACACGGCCCAGACUCCUACGGGAGGCAGCAGUGGGGAAUCUUGCGCAAUGGGCGAAAGCCUGACGCAGCGACGCCGCGUGAGGGAUGACGGCCUG
rnacentral:rRNA from 1 species